ACUAUAAAAGGGGAUGGAGAACUCCAAUUUAUCUCUUUCACCUAAGAAGAAAAAGACAGCCGCACCUUUGGGCCUCUGGAAGAGAUCCUGACUGAGGAGAGGGUCAGCCACAAUCUUUCUGGAAGACUGUGGAAACCAGAAAUAUGG